UACGUAGGGUGCGAGCGUUAAUCGGAAUUACUGGGCGUAAAGCGUGCGCAGGCGGUUUUGUAAGCCAGAUGUGAAAUCCCCGGGCUUAACCUGGGAAUGGCAUUUGGGACUGCAAGGCUGGAGUUUGGCAGAGGAGACUGGAAUUCCUGGUGUAGCAGUGAAAUGCGUAGAUAUCAGGAGGAACACCUGAGGUGAAGACGGGUUGCUGGGCUGACACUGACGCUGAGUGCGCGAAAGCCAGGGGAGCAAACGGG
rnacentral:rRNA from 1 species